UGGGGAAUAUUGCACAAUGGGCGCAAGCCUGAUGCAGCAACGCCGCGUGAACGAUGAAGGUCUUCGGAUCGUCAAGUUCUGUUGCAGGGGAAGAUAAUGACGGUACUCUGUGAGGAAGCUCCGGCUAACUACGUGCCAGCAGCCGCGGUAAUACGUAGGGGGCUAGCGUUAUCCGGAUUUACUGGGCGUAAAGGGUGCGUAGGUGGUCUUUCAAGUAGGUGGUUAAAGGUUACGGCUCAACCGUAGUUAGCCUCCGAAACUGGAAGACUUGAGUGCAGGAGAGGAAGGUGGAAUUCCCAGUGUAGCGGUGAAAUGCGUAGAUAUUGGGAGGAACACCAGUAGCGGAGGCGGCUUUCUGGACUGCAACUGACACUGAGGCACGAAAGCGUGGGUAGCAAACAGG
rnacentral:rRNA from 1 species